rnacentral:rRNA from 1 species
ACGGAGGGUGCAAGCGUUAUUCGGAAUCAUUGGGCGUAAAGGGCGUGUAGGCGGUUUAUCAAGUCAGAUGUGAAAGCCCGGGGCUCAACCUCGGAAGUGCAUUUGAAACUGGUAGACUUGAGUGCGGGAGAGGAAAGCGGAAUUCCCGGUGUAGAGGUGAAAUUCGUAGAUAUCGGGAGGAACACCAGUGGCGAAGGCGGCUACCUGGACGGACACUGACGCUGAGACGCGAAAGCGUGGGGAGCAAACAG